CACUUAGCCUCCAUGCUUCAUUGCAUGAUCACUGGCUCACUGCUGAUCACUAUUUGGAAGGUAUCAUAUCCAUAGGAUACCAUAAGGACUCUGUAUAGAUUUCUGCAUUUUUCACCUGUAUUGUGACUUCUGAGGUCCUCCAUGUGUGCAUGAAGUUGCCGAUUCCUCUUUUUUUCAUACGAAUGCUUCCCUUUUGAGCUCUUCGUAAUCUGAGUUACCAGAUUCACGAGGCUGACUUUAUGCCCUUAUUUCACGCCUCAUUGAUGUUUGGAAGCCCACGUAUGAACCUAUUCGGCCAAUGAUCUAGGCCUAUCACUCUUUUGGAUAGACAUUAUUAUCUAAGACGCACCCCUGAUGAAGUCUAGUUCCUAGACAAAACGCGUUGGGUUACUGUAUUUCUUGUUGAUGUUAUCUCCGAAUAUUUAAUGAGGAAGAAUAAGGAUACAACAGAAAGGUUGCCUUCUUUCCUCCAUAUCCCAUUGAUGGAUUUCUGUAGGAGAAACUACAUCAUAAUGUCCUCCAUGUGUGCAUGAAGUUGCCGAUUCCUCUUUUUUUCAUACGAAUGCUUCCCUUUUGAGCUCUUCGUAAUCUGAGUUACCAGAUUCACGAGGCUGACUUUAUGCCCUUAUUUCACGCCUCAUUGAUGUUUGGAAGCCCACGUAUAAACCUAUUCGGCCAAUGAUCUAGGCCUAUCACUCUUUUGGAUAGACAUUAUUAUCUAAGACGCACCCCUGAUGAAGUCUAGUUCCUAGACGAAACGCGUUGUUACUGUAUUUCUUGUUGACGUUAUCUCCGAAUAUUUAAUGAGGAAGAAUAAGGAUACAACAGAAAGGUUGCCUUCUUUCCUCCAUAUCCCAUUGAUGGAUUUCUGUAGGAGAAACUACAUCAUAAUGUACAUGUAAUAAUGAUGGAUAUACUUCAUGUUUCUGUAUAAUUGUUUUAAUACAUUUUUAUGAAAAGUACA